rnacentral:pre_miRNA from 1 species
UAUUAUGGAUGAGUGAAGAAGGUGGCUUCUUGACAUGGAAUCUACUCCUGGUGAAGAUGCUGUGAA